rnacentral:rRNA from 1 species
AGCAGUAGCCGCGGUAAUACGUAGGGUCCGAGCGUUGUCCGGAAUUAUUGGGCGUAAAGGGCUCGUAGGCGGUUUGUCACGUCGGGAGUGAAAACUCAGGGCUCAACCCUGAGCGUGCUUCCGAUACGGGCAGACUAGAGGUAUGCAGGGGAGAACGGAAUUCCUGGUGUAGCGGUGGAAUGCGCAGAUAUCAGGAGGAACACCGGUGGCGAAGGCGGUUCUCUGGGCAUUACCUGACGCUGAGGAGCGAAAGCAUGGGGAGCGAACAGGAUUAGAGACCCCGGUAGUCCUGUCUCUUAUACA